rnacentral:rRNA from 1 species
UACGUAGGGGGCAAGCGUUGUCCGGAAUCACUGGGCGUAAAGGGCGCGUAGGCGGCCCGGUAAGUAGGGGGUGAAAUCCUGCGGCUUAACCGCAGGGCUGCCUUCUAAACUGUCGGGCUCGAGCACGGUAGAGGCAGAUGGAAUUCCCGGUGUAGCGGUGGAAUGCGUAGAUAUCGGGAGGAACACCAGUGGCGAAGGCGACUACCUGGCCCAUUCUUGACGCUGAGGCGCGAAAGCUAGGGGAGCGAACGGG